rnacentral:rRNA from 1 species
UAAUACGGAAGGGGCGAGCGUUGUUCGGAAUCAUUGGGCGUAAAGGGCGCGUAGGUGGUUCUGUAUGUCUACCGUGAAAGCGUACGGCUCAACCGUAUUUUGUCGGUAGAAACUGCAGGACUUGAGGCUGGGAGGGGCUGGUGGAAUUCCCUGUGUUGCGGUGAAAUGCGUAGAGAUAGGGGAGAACA